UACGAAGGGGGGCUAGCGUUGCUCGGAAUCACUGGGCGUAAAGCGCACGUAGGCGGGUCUUUAAGUCGGGGGUGAAAUCCUGGAGCUCAACUCCAGAACUGCCUUCGAUACUGAGGAUCUCGAGUCCGGGAGAGGUGAGUGGAACUCCGAGUGUAGAGGUGAAAUUCGUAGAUAUUCGGAAGAACACCAGUGGCGAAGGCGGCUCACUGGCCCGGUACUGACGCUGAGGUGCGAAAGCGUGGGGAGCAAACAGG
rnacentral:rRNA from 1 species